CAGUCGCCGCGGUAAUACGAAGGGGGCUAGCGUUGUUCGGAAUUACUGGGCGUAAAGCGCACGUAGGCGGAUAUUUAAGUCAGGGGUGAAAUCCCGCAGCUCAACUGCGGAACUGCCUUUGAUACUGGGUAUCUUGAGUAUGGAAGAGGUUAGCGGAAUUGCGAGUGUAGAGGUGAAAUUCGUAGAUAUUCGCAGGAACACCAGUGGCGAAGGCGGCUAACUGGUCCAUAACUGACGCUGAGGUGCGAAAGCGUGGGGAGCAAACAGGAUUAGAUACCCCUGUAGUCCCUGUCUCUUAUAC
rnacentral:rRNA from 1 species